ACGUCACCCUCACUGCAGAGAAGGAAGGAGAUGGCGACGGGCGGAGGAGAGCUCUCUGCACCAAAGCAGCAGUGGGACCCACCAGGAGAUGCAGCCCCUGGGCAGAGGGGCAGCACGAGGUGUCCUGCCCAGGGCAUGCAGCCAAGCCCCGGUGGCAGCGUUGGAAGCAGAAGGCCAUCCUGUCCCAUAGGGUGCGUGUGGAUGGGCACGGUGGGGCGGCUGUCCCCAUGUGGAGGGUCCCUGGGUCCCACACGGGACCUCCUCCAGACCCUACAAUGGCCACGGAAAGGCUGUCAGCAUGGGGACAUUUAUCAAAGAAAUGAAUUGCGAAUGAAAUCCUGAAGAAAAACCCUCCAGCGUAGGGGCGACUGUUCAAAACCAGUCUGUAAAAGUCAUUGCCUUCAUCAAGUUAAUUAGCUGCAGAAGUGCCGGCUGAACGCGGCAACGCUGCCCAAGGGUUG
rnacentral:lncRNA from 1 species